GCCCCCGUAGCUCAGCUGGAAGAGCAACCCCUUCGUAUGGGUAGGCCGCUCGUUCGAGUCGAGUCGGGGGUU
rnacentral:tRNA from 1 species